rnacentral:rRNA from 1 species
AUUGAACGCUGGCGGCAGGCCUAACACAUGCAAGUCGAACGGUAACAGGAAGAAGCUUGCUUCUUUGCUGACGAGUGGCGGACGGGUGAGUAAUGUCUGGGAAACUGCCUGAUGGAGGGGGAUAACUACUGGAAACGGUAGCUAAUACCGCAUAACGUCGCAAGACCAAAAAGGGGGACCUUCGGGCCUCUUGCCAUCGGAUGUGCCCAGAUGGGAUUAGCUAGUAGGUGGGGUAACGGCUCACCUAGGCGACGAUCCCUAGCUGGUCUGAGAGGAUGACCAGCCACACUGGAACUGAGACACGGUCCAGACUCCUACGGGAGGCAGCAGUGGGGAAUAUUGCACAAUGGGCGCAAGCCUGAUGCAGCCAUGCCGCGUGUAUGAAGAAGGCCUUCGGGUUGUAAAGUACUUUCAGCGGGGAGGAAAGGAGUAAAGUUAAUACCUUUGCUCAUUGACGUUACCCGCAGAAGAAGCACCGGCUAACUCCGUG